UGGGGGAUAUUGCACAAUGGGCGAAAGCCUGAUGCAGCGACGCCGCGUGGGGGAUGAAGGCCUUCGGGUUGUAAACUUCUUUUGCUCUGAACAAGGCGCACCAUGGGGUGUGUUGAGUGUAGGGGUUGAUUAGCGCCGGCUAACUACGUGCCAGCAGCCGCGGUAAUACGUAGGGCGCGAGCGUUGUCCGGAAUUAUUGGGCGUAAAGGGCUUGUAGGUGGCUGGUUGCGUCUGUCGUGAAAGGUCAUGGCUUAACUGUGGGUUUGCGGUGGGUACGGGCUGGCUUGAGUGCAGUAGGGGAGGCUGGAAUUCCUGGUGUAGCGGUGGAAUGCGCAGAUAUCAGGAGGAAUACCGGUGGCGAAGGCGGGUCUCUGGGCUGUUACUGACACUGAGGAGCGAAAGCAUGGGGAGCGAACAGG
rnacentral:rRNA from 1 species